UAAAGGAAGAGAGCCCUCAAUUUCUCAAGAAAUCCCUAAAACCUUCUCUGAUUUCCAACUCCAUCAAUCUUGCAUUAAAACACUUCCUUUAGCCAUGGACGCUCAGAGAGUUUUGCUAUAUGAACAUAUGGGUGCAAGAGUGCAGCAACUCGUAAUUUGACGGAGGAAGAGACAAAGGGAUUCAAGGAGAUUAAUUGGGAUGCAAGGAGGUUUGUGCUUGCUAAUUGAUGGAGGAAGAGAGAAAUGAUUCAAGGAGAUUAAUUGGGAUGCAAUGAGGUUUGUGCUUGCUAAUUGACGGAGGAAGAGAGAAAGGAUUCAAGGAGAUUUAUUUUGCCCAGGUUUUUACCAGAUAAUUAUGUUUGGUUUGAAAUUUUGUUUGUUUGCUAAGAAAACAACGGAAAAUAAAAUAUUUCUUCUUUCCA